AAACUGAGACCAUAGGGCAGUAUAGCCUGUUCUAUAAAGCAUUCUAAGUGGAGAGGAGAGCAUAAGGCACUUGAAAGUCACUAAACUGUCUGAAAAGUAAUAUAUAUUAAAAACAGGAUGGAAUCAGUGCAACAGUGGGAAUUACCUUUUACGAGUAUCCACUCACAAUCUUCAUUUCUUUGGAGCCAUCCUUUAGACAAAGAAAGGCAAUUUUUAGGUGGACUGAAAGCUUAGAUAAGGUUAUAAGGAUUAUAAAUGUUCAGGUUAUUAGGAUUUAUAAAUUAUAAAUUUUCUACUGGUUUAAGUCAUUAAUUCUUGUCUUUUUUUUUUAAGGUUUGGACUUUCCAUAAAACUUUGUAUAACAAAAUAAAAAUGUAAUUG
rnacentral:lncRNA from 1 species